rnacentral:rRNA from 1 species
GACGAACGCUGGCGGCGUGCUUAACACAUGCAAGUCGAACGGAAAGGCCCUGCUUUUUUGGGGUUCUCGAGUGGCGAACGGGUGAGUAACACGUGAGUAACCUGCCCUUGACUUUGGUAUAACUUCAGGAAACUGGGGCUAAUACCGUAUAGGAGCUCCUGCUGCAUGGUGGGGGUUGGAAAGUUUCGGCGGUUGGGGAUGGACGCGCGGCUUAUCAGCUUGUUGGUGGGGUAGUGGCUUACCAAGGCUUUGAACGGUAGCCGGCAUGAGAGGGUGACCGGCCACAUUGGGACUGAGAUACGGACCAGACUCCUACGGGAGGCAGCAGUGGGGAAUAUUGCACAAUGGGAGGAAGCCUGAUGAAGCAACGCCGCGUGCGGGAUGACGGCCUUUGGGUUGUAAACCGCUUUAGCUUGUGACGAAGCGUGAGUGACGGUAAUGGGUAAAGAAGCACCGGCUAACUACGUG